GCGGGCGUGGCGGAACUGGUAGACGCGCCGGGUUUAGGUCCCGGUCCCGAGAGGGAUGGAGGUUCGACUCCUCUCGCCCGCA
rnacentral:tRNA from 1 species